CACUUAAUGAUACACUCCACCCGAUUGCAAUUCUCAAAACGAGGAAACCAACCAACUGAGCAGAAUGACAAUGGUCAAAAGAGAAGCAGCGGAUGACUACGUUUUUGUCAGCCACAUCUGACAGUUGGUAGCUACCGUGAAGCGGGCCUUUCGGAUUUAGGAGAAGGCGAAACAAGGUGCAGAUGGUCCAUUCAUUUCAGCUAGGCUGCAACUGUGGAUGAAGUGGAGUUGUAUAACUGGUCUACAAUGCUGCUGCGUAUCAUCGUAUCAGAAAAUGACAUCAGACGUCUUUCAAUUGAAGACGUCCCAUCUAGUGUUGAGGAGCUGUAC